UGAGUAACCUGCCCUUAACUCUGGGAUAAGCCUGGGAAACUGGGUCUAAUACCGGAUAUGACUCCUCAUCGCAUGGUGGGUGGUGGAAAGUUUUUCGGCUGGGGAUGGGCCCGCGGCCUAUCAGCUUGUUGGUGGGGUGAUGGCCUACCAAGGCGACGACGGGUAGCCGGCCUGAGAGGGCGUCCGGCCACACUGGGACUGAGACACGGCCCAGACUCCUACGGGAGGCAG
rnacentral:rRNA from 1 species